rnacentral:lncRNA from 1 species
GUCAUUUCUUCCUCUGGACAGUACUGUUGUCUUCGAAAUAUGCAACAGCGUGUCGCAAACAGGGUUCCGAGUCACAAAACCAGCUGGGUCUUCUUGAGUUGAUCAGUCAGUCAUGAACAUAGUGCACAGCGUGAUGCAGUGUUUGUGUCACAGCCUGCAGGCCCUGAGGCGGCCAGAGGAGCGGCGAGGAGCGGAGCGGCCGGGAGCGCGGAGGCGGCCGCUGUCCCCCGAGCGGCGGCACGCGGGGAGCCGGGCCGCGCGGCGCCUCCCUCCUGCGCCUGGCCGCUGCGCUGCGCUGGGCGGCGGCGCUCCGUCAG